rnacentral:tRNA from 1 species
GCCUCUCUGGCGCAAUGGUAGCGCGUUGGACUUCUAAUCCUGGCACCUCUGAGCUGGCAGCGGAAUACAUCCAAAGGUUGUGGGUUCGAGCCCCACGAGAGGUG